CUUGAUCGAACCCAGCAGCAGCGGCCGCUCCCGGUCCUGCCCGUAGGUGGCCAGCAACGCCUGCGCCUC
rnacentral:antisense_RNA from 1 species